AUUUAGUAUUAAUUAUAAAUUAAACUAAUUUAUUUUGGCGGCAUUUCAUCUAAUUAGAGGAACUUGUUAUUUAAUCGAUACCCCACGUUAUAUUUUACUUUAAUUUAUAAUUUAUAUACCUCCAUCUUAAGAGUUAAUUAAUAAAUAUAUUCUAAAUAAUAAAUAAAAAGUUAGGUCAAGGUGUAAUCCAUAUUAAAGUUUAUAUGAGUUACUUUUAAAAAAAUUAAAGGAUUAAUUUAUUAUAGUUUUUAUUAAAAAGGAUUUAUAAGUAUUAAAAUAAUAAUAAUAUUAUAUUAAUAAGAUAAUAAAUGUGC
rnacentral:rRNA from 1 species